GACGAACGCUGGCGGCGUGCUUAACACAUGCAAGUCGAACGGUGAAGCGAGUGCUUGCCCUCGUGGACGAGUGGCGCACGGGUGAGUAACACGUGAGUAACCUGCACAUCACUCUGGGAUAAGCACUGGAAACGGUGUCUAAUACUGGAUACGACAAACCCUUGCAUGGGGUGUUGGUGGUAAGAUUUAUCGGUGAUGGAUGGACUCGCGGCCUAUCAGCUUGUUGGCGGGGUAAUGGCCCACCAGGUCGCCGACGGGUAGCCGACCUGAGAGGGUGACCGGCCACACUAGUACUGAGACACGGCCCAGACUCCUACGGGCGGCAGCAGUGGGAAAUAUUGCGCAGUGGGCGAGAGCCUGAUGCAGCGACGCCGCGUGAGGGAUGACGUCCUUCGGGUUGAAAACCUCUUUCAGCAGGGAAGAAGCGAAAUUGACGGUACCUGCAGAAGAAGCACCGGCUAACUACGUG
rnacentral:rRNA from 1 species